GCGUGUCUAACACAUGCAAGUCGAGCCGAGAUUUUAAGAACUAGCUUGCUAGUUCUUAAAUGAAAGCGGCGGACGGGUGAGUAACGCGUGGGCAACCUGCCCUAUGGAAAGGGAUAGCCUCGGGAAACCGGGAUUAAUACCUUAUAAAGUGAACACUUCCCAUGGAGAGUUCAUCAAAGAUUUAUCGCCAUAGGAUGGGCCCGCGUCCCAUUAGCUAGUUGGUGAGGUAACAGCUCACCAAGGCGACGAUGGGUAGCCGGCCUGAGAGGGUGAACGGCCACACUGGAACUGAGACACGGUCCAGACUCCUACGGGAGGCAGCAGUGGGGAAUAUUGCACAAUGGAGGAAACUCUGAUGCAGCGACGCCGCGUGAAUGAUGAAGGCCUUCGGGUCGUAAAAUUCUGUCCUUGGGGAAGAUAAUGACCGGACCCAAGG
rnacentral:rRNA from 1 species